rnacentral:misc_RNA from 1 species
ACAACAACCUGCAGGCCAUUCAGGCAUUCAUCCAAGGCCAUAUAUCAUUCAUCCCUUGGCAGCCAGGGACCAAGACGGUGAAAACAGGGCGCCUGGGGCGAUUUGAUCAAGAACAUUGCCUGGAUCUAGCAAGUUCUACAUAAAAAGGAGAAUGGUCAAAAAGGCUCUUGUUCUGGUGGCUGAAGGCACGGAGGAAAUGGAAGCCGUCACCAUCGUUGAUGUACUACGCCGUGCGGAGGUGGAGGUGACGGUGGCGGGCGUCGCCGGCUGCGAGCCGGUCAGGUGCAGCCGCUCUGUGCGCAUAGUCCCCGACGCUGCGCUCAGCUCGGCGGCGGACGCAGGCCCCUACGACGCGCUCGUCCUGCCCGGCGGACUGGGAGGCGCGCAGGCCUUCUGCCAGUCGCAGCUGGUGAAGAGGGCGCUGCUAGAACAGGAGGCGACCGGCCGGCUGAUUGCCGCCAUCUGCGCGGCGCCAACGGCUCUGAGGGCGCACGGCCUCUGCACGGGCCGAGCACUCACCAGCUAUCCGACGUUCCGUGACGAGCUGGUGGCGGCCGGCUACCGGUACUUGGAACAGCCGGUGGUGGUAGACGGUACCCUGGUCACCAGCCGCGGUCCAGGCACGGCCGUGCAGUUUGCGCUGGAGCUGGUCGGCCAACUGUGCGGCGGCGAGCGGCAGGCGCGCACGGCGGCCGCACUGCUAUCGGCCGCCUGAGCCGGCGCCUCCAUCCCCGCAUAGCUGAGCCGCCCCCCCCCCCCCCCCCGCUGGAGCCGGUGCCCCGCCUGAGCUCCCCUCCCCCGAGCCGGCACCCCUCGCCGUCUGACCCCCCCCCCCCUCCCCCGAGCUGGCACCCCUCGCCGUCUGAGCCCCCCCCCCCCCUCCCCCGAGCCGGCACCCCUCGCCGUCUGAGCCCCCGCUCGGCUGUCGGAACUGCCACUCCGGGGGCUGCCACUCUGGCUGAACCAGAUUGUAAGGAUUUAUUGAGCCAAUACAUGUCCAGGAUU